rnacentral:rRNA from 1 species
GGGGAAAUCUGCCCAGAAGCAGGGGAUAACACUUGGAAACAGGUGCUAAUACCGUAUAACACAAAAUCCGCAUGGAUUUGUUUGAAAGGUGGCUUCGGCUAUCACUUCUGGAUGAUCCCGCGGCGUAUUAGUUAGUUGGUGAGGUAAAGGCCCACCAAGACGAUGAUACGUAGCCGACCUGAGAGGGUAAUCGGCCACAUUGGGACUGAGACACGGCCCAAACUCCUACGGGAGGCAGCAGUAGGGAAUCUUCGGCAAUGGACGAAAGUCUGACCGAGCAACGCCGCGUGAGUGAAGAAGGUUUUCGGAUCGUAAAACUCUGUUGUUAGAGAAGAACAAGGAUGAGAGUAAAAUGUUCAUCCCUUGACGGUAUCUAGCCAGAAAGCCACGGCUAACUACGUGC